UACAGGGGGGGCAAGCGUUGUUCGGAAUUACUGGGCGUAAAGGGUUCGUAGGUGGCCACUUAAGUCAGACGUGAAAUCCCUCAGCUUAACUGGGGAACUGCGUCUGAUACUGGAUGGCUUGAGUGCAGGAGAGGAAUGCGGAAUUCCAGGUGUAGCGGUGAAAUGCGUAGAUAUCUGGAGGAACACCGGUGGCGAAGGCGGCAUCCUGGACCGAGAUUGACGCUGAGGCGCGAAAGCCAGGGGAGCAAACGGG
rnacentral:rRNA from 1 species